rnacentral:rRNA from 1 species
AUUGAACGCUGGCGGCAUGCUUUACACAUGCAAGUCGAACGGUAACAGGGUGCUUGCACCGCUGACGAGUGGCGAACGGGUGAGUAAUGCGUCGGAACGUGCCGAGUAGUGGGGGAUAACGCAGCGGAAGUUGUGCUAAUACCGCAUACGUACUGAGGUAGAAAGUGGGGGACCUUCGGGCCUCACGCUAUUCGAGCGGCCGACGUCUGAUUAGCUAGUAGGUGAGGUAAAGGCUCACCUAGGCGACGAUACGUAGCGGGUCUGAGAUGAUGGUCCGCCACACGGAGACUGAGACACGGCCCAGACUCCUACGGGAGGCAGCAGUGGGGAAUUUUGGACAAUGGGCGAAAGCCUGAUCCAGCCAUGCCGCGUGUCUGAAGAAGGCCUUCGGGUUGUAAAGGACUUUUGUCAGGGAGGAAAUCCCUAGUGCUAAUAACACUGGGGGAUGACAGUACCUGAAGAAUAAGCACCGGCUAACUACGUGCCAGCAGCCGCCGCGG